CACUUAUCUCACUGUGAGUCUGAGAGAUCAUUCUGAUCUCCAUUAACCUAUGGCCCUCUGUUAAUCCUAUGGCCCCUUAAACACUACUGGAAAGAAUAGACACAUCAUACUCUAAAGUAUAAACAUAAUUUCCUCGAAAAGCACAAAAUAUACCUGUCAUCUUUUGUAAGAUAACUAACUGUAUGAAUAUCUUUACAGCCAUUCAAAGGCAGAUGACAACAGCAAAUAACCCCAAAAUAUGCAGUCAUUCAGUGAAAUGUAUAAAGUUUAAAUAAAUAAAUAAGUACCAAUCUCAUGCAGAUGAAAUCCAUUAUGUGGUCAUUUACUGCAAUGUGGUAGAACAGAAGGUAACAAUGUGGAUACAGUACAAUAAAUGUCAUUCAUGUAAAUGAAUCAUGUAAAGUAUAGAUCCCUGUGGGGCUCAAUAGAUUUUCUCACUCUGUGCUGUUCCAAGAACCAAUGCUGAUAAUACCAACUCUCAAAGAUCUCAACCUCUCAGUCUGUAUAUAAACCUCUAGAGCGUGGUCUAUGCAAAGCCUCCCUCCCAUUUAUAAUCAGACACAGCUCUGGCCUUCUCAUUAUACGCAGCUUGGACUGACAUUACAACAUUACAAGUUCUGUACUAACUAAUACUGAACAAUGGAGUUUAUGACUGUCUGGAGUUUAGUUGUCAUGGUGAUUUCCAUACACAGAGUUUGCUGUGAUGAAAUGGAUCAGUCACCUUCUCAGGUGUUAAAUUGUCAUGUAUUGGUGGUAUUGGAUUGGGGUUAUUGACUCUGGUUCAACAGAUGCUCCAGACUACUCAUAUCCCCUGAAAGGCCAGUUCUCCCCGACUGAGGAUGUCUCUACAAGCACACAGUUCUUAGAGGCCAAGAGUUAAGCCAUUCAUAUACAUUCUGACGAAAUAACAACUAUUGAAGGUUAAACCAUCCAUAAUGAUGCUGACUAAAUAAAAACUAUUAAAGGUUAAACCAUUCAUAAUGAUGCUGACUAAAUAACAACUGUUAUUUUAAAGGUUAAACCAUUCAUAAUGCUGACUAAAUAACAACUAUUAAAGUAG